rfam:Schistosoma rodhaini strain Burundi genome assembly, scaffold: SROB_scaffold0001306
AUCCAGCUGAUGAAUCCCAAAUAGGACGAGACGCGCGUCAAACUGAAU